rnacentral:rRNA from 1 species
AUUGAACGCUGGCGGCAUGCCUUACACAUGCAAGUCGAACGGCAGCACGGGUGCUUGCACCUGGUGGCGAGUGGCGAACGGGUGAGUAAUACAUCGGAACAUGUCCUGUAGUGGGGGAUAGCCCGGCGAAAGCCGGAUUAAUACCGCAUACGAUCCACGGAUGAAAGCGGGGGACCUUCGGGCCUCGCGCUAUAGGGUUGGCCGAUGGCUGAUUAGCUAGUUGGUGGGGUAAAGGCCUACCAAGGCGACGAUCAGUAGCUGGUCUGAGAGGACGACCAGCCACACUGGGACUGAGACACGGCCCAGACUCCUACGGGAGGCAGCAGUGGGGAAUUUUGGACAAUGGGCGAAAGCCUGAUCCAGCAAUGCCGCGUGUGUGAAGAAGGCCUUCGGGUUGUAAAGCACUUUUGUCCGGAAAGAAAUCCUUGACUCUAAUACAGUCAGGGGAUGACGGUACCGGAAGAAUAAGCACCGGCUAACUACGUG